rnacentral:rRNA from 1 species
CGGCUUACCUAACACAUGCAAGUCGAGCGGAGAAUGCAGCAAUGUAUUCUUAGCGGCGGACGGGUGAGUAACGCGUGGGCAACCUACCUCACACAGGGGGAUAACACUGGGAAACUAGUGCUAAUACCGCAUAACAUCGUCGGGUGGCAUCAUCUGGUGAUCAAAGGAGCAAUCCGGUGUGAGAUGGGCCCGCGUCCGAUUAGCUGGUUGGUGGUGUAACGGACCACCAAGGCGACGAUCGGUAGCCGAACUGAGAGGUUGAUCGGCCACAUUGGGACUGAGACACGGCCCAGACUCCUACGGGAGGCAGCAGUGGGGAAUAUUNCGCAAUGGAGGAAACUCUGACGCAGCAACGCCGCGUGAAGGAAGAAGGUCUUCGGAUUGUAAACUUCUUUGAUGAGGGACGAAAAAAAUGACGGUACCUCAAAAACAAGCCACGGCUAACUACGUGCCAGCAGCCGCGGUAAUACGUAGGUGGCGAGCGUUGUCCGGAAUUACUGGGUGUAAAGGGCGUGUAGGCGGGAAUGUAAGUCANAUGUGAAAUUCCAUGGCUUAACUGUG